AGAGUUUGAUCAUGGCUCAGGACGAACGCUGGCGGCGUGCUUAACACAUGCAAGUCGAACGAUGACGGUGGUGCUUGCACCGCCUGAUUAGUGGCGAACGGGUGAGUAACACGUGAGUAACCUGCCCUCCACUUCGGGAUAACCUCGGGAAAUCGUGGCUAAUACCGGAUAUGAGCACUCAUCGCAUGGUGGGUGUUGGAAAGAUUUAUCGGUGGGGGAUGGACUCGCGGCCUAUCAGUUUGUUGGUGAGGUGAUGGCUCACCAAGACGAUGACGGGUAGCCGGCCUGAGAGGGCGACCGGCCACACUGGGACUGAGACACGGCCCAGACUCCUACGGGAGGCAGCAGUGGGGAAUAUUGCACAAUGGGCGAAAGCCUGAUGCAGCGACGCCGCGUGGGGGAUGACGGCCUUCGGGUUGUAAACCCCUUUCAGUAGGGAAGAAGCGAGAGUGACGGUACCUGCAGAAGAAGCGCCGGCUAACUACGUGCCAGCAGCCGCGGUAAUACGUAGGGCGCAAGCGUUGUCCGGAAUUAUUGGGCGUAAAGAGCUUGUAGGUGGCUUGUCGCGUCUGCCGUGAAAACCCGAGGCUCAACCUCGGGCGGGCGGUGGGUACGGGCAGGCUAGAGUGUGGUAGGGGAGACUGGAACUCCUGGUGUAGCGGUGAAAUGCGCAGAUAUCAGGAAGAACACCGAUGGCGAAGGCAGGUCUCUGGGCCAUUACUGACACUGAGAAGCGAAAGCAUGGGUAGCGAACAGGAUUAGAUACCCUGGUAGUCCAUGCCGUAAACGUUGGGCACUAGGUGUGGGGGACAUUCCACGUUUUCCGCGCC
rnacentral:rRNA from 1 species